GAUGAACGCUGGCGGCGUGCCUAAUACAUGCAAGUCGAGCGAACAGACGAGGAGCUUGCUCCUCUGACGUUAGCGGCGGACGGGUGAGUAACACGUGGAUAACCUACCUAUAAGACUGGGAUAACUUCGGGAAACCGGAGCUAAUACCGGAUAAUAUAUUGAACCGCAUGGUUCAAUAGUGAAAGACGGUUUUGCUGUCACUUAUAGAUGUAUCCGCGCCGCAUUAGCUAGUUGGUAAGGUAACGGCUUACCAAGGCGACGAUGCGUAGCCGACCUGAGAGGAUGAUCGGCCACACUGGAACUGAGACACGGUCCAGACUCCUACGGGAGGCAGCAGUAGGGAAUCUUCCGCAAUGGGCGAAAGCCUGACGGAGCAACGCCGCGUGAGUGAUGAAGGUCUUCGGAUCGUAAAGCUCUGUUAGUAGGGAAGAACAGAUGUGUAAGUAACUAUGCACGUCUUGACGGUACCUAAUCAGAAAGCCACGGCUAACUACGUG
rnacentral:rRNA from 1 species